AAACCCCCAGUCCUCUCUCCUUCCUCGUGAAUUUGGCCCUCCCCCUCCUUGUUUGUGUUUGCAAACAAAGCUCCAGCAACAGAACCAACGCCAAUCAGCUUGCCCCAGCAUGGAGAGACUUUCCUGCCCACUUUCGUAGUCCAACAUUGCUGGAAAACACAGAACCCGGCGACUUCCUCUGCGGGUUCACAUUGGAUUCGAUGGUUUUUUGUUCAUCAUUAACCACCAUGCUUGCUACGGGCAUUUAUGUGCUCGCUGGAGGGAGCUAGAGAAACUAAGGUAGAUUCCCGGUAGCCCUAUGGCAUGAGCUUCGCCGGCGAGCGCAAACGGGGGAAGGGACAGUGUGGGGGACAAAUUUUUAGGACAGUUAUGAAGUUCUGGAUUUGUAUAGUUAUGAUGUUAUAAUCUAAUUUAACUAAAUUUUUAUUUUAAA
rnacentral:misc_RNA from 1 species